rnacentral:rRNA from 1 species
UAGGCUGCAACUCGCCUACACGAAGUCGGAAUCGCUAGUAAUCGCGGAUCAGCAUGCCGCGGUGAAUACGUUCCCGGGCCUUGUACACACCGCCCGUCACACCAUGGGAGUCGGUAACACCCGAAGCCAGUAGCCUAACCGCAAGGAGGGCGCUGUCGAAGGUGGGAUUGAUGACUGGGGUGAAGUCGUAACAAGGUAAC